UGCAUGCAAUAAACGUUGGGCGCUAAAUAUGGAGACCGGGUGAUGUAGUCGGUUCCGUAGAUAACGCAUUAAGCGCUCCUCCUGGGGAGUACGGCCGCAUGGCUAAAGCUCAAAGUAAUUGACGGGGGCCCGCACAAGCGGCGGAGCAUGUAGAUUAAUUGGAUGCAACGCGAAGAACCUUACCUGGGUUUGACAUACACCGGAUCGCUCCAGAGAUGGUGUUUCCUUUCGGGGCUGGUGUACAGGUGGUGCAUGGCUGUCGUCAGCUCGUGUCGUGAGAUGUUGGGUUAGGUCCCGUAACGAGCGCAACCCUUGUCCCGUGUUGCCAGCGGUGCGGCCGGGGACUCGCGGGAGACUGCCGGGGUCAACUCGGAGGAAGGCGGGGACGACGUCAAGUCAUCAUGCCCCUCAUGUCCAGGGCUUCACACAUGCUACAAUGGCCGGUACAGAGGGUGGCGAGACCGUGAGGUGGAGCGAAUCCCGGAAAGCCGGUCUCAGUUCGGAUCGGGGUCUGCAACUCGACCCCGUGAAGUCGGAGUCGCUAGUAAUCGCAGAUCAGCAAUGCUGCGGUGAAUACGUUCCCGGGCCUUGUACGCACCGCCCGUCACGUCAUGAAAGUCGGUAACACCUUUUAGCGGGGGUCCAACCCGGUUGGGGGGGCGUGGUCGAAGGUGGACUGGGCGAUGGACGAAGUCGUAUCAGAGCCGC
rnacentral:rRNA from 1 species